rnacentral:rRNA from 1 species
GAACGCUAGCUACAGGCUUAACACAUGCAAGUCGAGGGGCAGCAUGGUCUUAGCUUGCUAAGGCCGAUGGCGACCGGCGCACGGGUGAGUAACACGUAUCCAACCUGCCGUCUACUCUUGGACAGCCUUCUGAAAGGAAGAUUAAUACAAGAUGGCAUCAUGAGUCCACAUGUUCACAUGAUUAAAGGUAUUCCGGUAGACGAUGGGGAUGCGUUCCAUUAGAUAGUAGGCGGGGUAACGGCCCACCUAGUCUUCGAUGGAUAGGGGUUCUGAGAGGAAGGUCCCCCACAUUGGAACUGAGACACGGUCCAAACUCCUACGGGAGGCAGCAGUGAGGAAUAUUGGUCAAUGGGCGAGAGCCUGAACCAGCCAAGUAGCGUGAAGGAUGACUGCCCUAUGGGUUGUAAACUUCUUUUAUAAAGGAAUAAAGUCGGGUAUGGAUACCCGUUUGCAUGUACUUUAUGAAUAAGGAUCGGCUAACUCCGUGCCAGCAGCCGCGGUAAUACGGAGGAUCCGAGCGUUAUCCGGAUUUAUUGGGUUUAAAGGGAGCGUAGAUGGAUGUUUAAGUCAGUUGUGAAAGUUUGCGGCUCAACCGUAAAAUUGCAGUUGAUACUGGAUAUCUUGAGUGCAGUUGAGGCAGGCGGAAUUCGUGGUGUAGCGGUGAAAUGCUUAGAUAUCACGAAGAACUCCGAUUGCGAAGGCAGCCUGCUAAGCUGCAACUGACAUUGAGGCUCGAAAGUGUGGGUAUCAAACAGGAUUAGAUACCCUGGUAGUCCACACGGUAAACGAUGAAUACUCGCUGUUUGCGAUAUACAGCAAGCGGCCAAGCGAAAGCGUUAAGUAUUCCACCUGGGGAGUACGCCGGCAACGGUGAAACUCAAAGGAAUUGACGGGGGCCCGCACAAGCGGAGGAACAUGUGGUUUAAUUCGAUGAUACGCGAGGAACCUUACCCGGGCUUAAAUUGCAGAUGAAUUACGGUGAAAGCCGUAAGCCGCAAGGCAUCUGUGAAGGUGCUGCAUGGUUGUCGUCAGCUCGUGCCGUGAGGUGUCGGCUUAAGUGCCAUAACGAGCGCAACCCUUGUCGUCAGUUACUAACAGGUUCCGCUGAGGACUCUGACAAGACUGCCAUCGUAAGAUGUGAGGAAGGUGGGGAUGACGUCAAAUCAGCACGGCCCUUACGUCCGGGGCUACACACGUGUUACAAUGGGGGGUACAGAGGGCCGCUACCACGCGAGUGGAUGCCAAUCCCCAAAACCUCUCUCAGUUCGGACUGGAGUCUGCAACCCGACUCCACGAAGCUGGAUUCGCUAGUAAUCGCGCAUCAGCCACGGCGCGGUGAAUACGUUCCCGGGCCUUGUACACACCGCCCGUCAAGCCAUGGGAGCCGGGGGUACCUGAAGUGCGUAACCGCGAGGAGCGCCCUAGGGUAAAACUGGUGACUGGGGCUAAG